CAUUACGCUAACUGCUGGUUCUCACCUUUCUCAACAUUCUUAAACCACAACUAUGCAAUACAAAAGAAGAUGGGGGGAGGGGCUGGCAGAGGCAAAAGAAUUUUAAAACGGGAGCGACUACCUGGGCAGCGUCUGCAAAGGCAAUACUGGCUGCCUAGGUGCCAAACCUGCAUUACUGAGCCCUGCCUUCACUUGCUCCUGUGAGCGCUAGCAUAGCUAACAAAAGGGUCCUAUUCCCUCUGGACCAGCGACCUAAAAGGACAGCCAAGAACUUAUAAAUGAUCUGCCUGCACUAAGCCACGAGCACCGGUAGGAGGAGUAGGUGUAAAGUGCUAAGGCCGCUGGCGAGAACAUAACUUCCUCUUGGAUCUCCUGGCCACGGAGCAAUUACUCAGCUCCCCCGUGCUCCUCCACCACAAAGCUCUCAAGCGGCUUCGCCGACCUUCCCUGGAGAAGCCGCUCCAGAGAGCAACGCCCUCGCGCCGGCCCCGCCCACUGCGGCUGCAGAGAUGGGACUCGAGCUGACCAAUAGGUGGCAGGGGCUCAGAUUCUAUAAGCUGCUCUGUCAGGCCCGCUGCCAUUGGCUGGCAGGAAACAGGAAAACUCGCCAGGAAUCGGUUGCCAUGGACGCCUCUUUGCCCUGUGGCUCUGAGAAGUCAGAACAAGCCCCUAGUGCACCGUAGGGCUGCAGCCUUACGAGCUACCGGUGCUCCCCGGCAGGUGGCGCCACAAGCAGCCAGGAGCCUUGGGAAUGUGCUGACUAAUGCCGCCAGGGCGAGGGGUUCCGGGCCCAGGUUCAGGGACAGGGGUACGGCCAAUGAGGUUGGUUCCCUUCCUAUCUCCUAUGCUGACCUUGGACUGCGCCCUCAAAAUGUCUGGUCACAAAGGAAUCUUAGUCAUGAGAAACCCCAGAUGGGAAAGCGCGGCCACGGAGGUUGUUGAUCAUAUAUUAAUCGCAUUUUAAAAACUGGGAAUAUUUCCAAGGAAGAAUUCUUUAAGUGAAACUGCUAAUAUGACCCUUUUUUGUUUUUUUUCUGAGGCAGAUGGCUAACCCCAGAUUUUUGUUUUCAGUGAGCGCCUUUUGCCUACCAAGGGGUAUGCUCCCCACAGUCCCCACCCUUGUCUCCCACUGCUGUUCAAGUAUCCAUGGACCGAAUGUACCAGAACUCCAAGUGGCAAAGAUACACAACCAUGUGUGCUUCACUGACCAUAAUGUCUACAAUGAAUUAGGAAUUGACAGAUGGCCUGAUACGAGGUUCUGACAAGACAGAGAAGGGGACCCAAAGUGCAGCAGAGAGGAAGCAACGACAGCACAACUGGACUCAGACCUGAGGUGGAGGCGAGGGAGCCACAAUGGCCGUGCCCUGGGACAGUCUCUUUUGGCUUCUUCAUCUGUGUAACUGGAAUUAAAAAUUUACUUCCUAAUGUGGCUGGGAGGAUUCAGGGAUGAAAGCGUUUUGUAAACAGUAAGGUGAUGUACCAAGGUUGCUAGUUGCUCUUAAUGUGUUGUAAGUGGCCCAAAGUCGAUACAUUUAAUUUGUAUCUCUUCGCACAAUGAAUAGGGAAGGGUUGGUUGAGUGCAUGAUAAAGAAAUAAUUUAUAGGGGGAUGGAGAAUACACAAACAUGUAUUUCUAUUAUAUUUCUGUAUGUAAGAGGAUGCCUUUAUACAUUUUUCUAUUAAAAGUAAAAACGCUGUAUGUGAAAAUACUGGAGCCAGAGGAAAAUGUUAAAGGAUGGUAUGAUAUGCAAUCAAGCUCAGAACACAGAAAAACCAUGAGACAGAUGAUCCAGUUUUACAACAAAUAAAUGCAACAUGAAAAAGAAAAAAAGGAGGACAGGAAGGAGUUUUGGGACAUAGCAAUGAAGUGGAAUAUAGACUUUGGCGUCUGAUUAUGAGACAACUAGGGAAAUUUGAACCCUGAGUGGAUACUAAAUGGGAUAGAAAAUUAUUUUUCAAGUGUGAUCACUGUAUUGUGGUAGUGCAUUUUAAAAAAGAAAAUCUGCUUCUGGUGGAGAUUUAUACUGAAGUAUUUAUGAAUGAGAGGUAACAAUGUCUUCUGAUUUGUUUUAACAUAACCCAGUGGGUGGGGAUAGAGAUGUCCUAACAGUAGCCACAUGUAGAUUACUGUAGAGACUGAGAGAUGGGUAGUUAUGGGCUCGUCUUAUAUUUUCUA